UACGAAGGGGGCUAGCGUUGCUCGGAAUUACUGGGCGUAAAGGGCUCGUAGGCGGCCAACUAAGUCGGAUGUGAAAUCCCCAGGCUCAACUUGGGAACUGCAUCCGAUACUGGAUGGCUUGAAUUCGGGAGAGGGAUGCAGAAUUCCAGGUGUAGCGGUGAAAUGCGUAGAUAUCUGGAGGAAUACCGGUGGCGAAGGCGGCAUCCUGGACCGACAUUGACGCUGAUGAGCGAAAGCUAGGGGAGCAAACGGG
rnacentral:rRNA from 1 species